CGGCACCCCAGAUGUUUUGGACUACACCUCCCAUGACGCUUUGCCAGCAUUAUGGGUGAUGUAGUCCACACAUCUGGAGUGCCG